rnacentral:tRNA from 1 species
UCCGCCUUCGCCUAAAGGUAGGGCAGCGCACUUUGAAUGCGCCCGUCGUGGUUCGAUCCCAUGAGGCGGAACCA